UACGGAAGGUCCGGGCGUUAUCCGGAUUUAUUGGGUUUAAAGGGAGCGUAGGCCGGAGAUUAAGCGUGUUGUGAAAUGUAGAUGCUCAACAUCUGCACUGCAGCGCGAACUGGUUUCCUUGAGUACGCACAAAGUGGGCGGAAUUCGUGGUGUAGCGGUGAAAUGCUUAGAUAUCACGAAGAACUCCGAUUGCGAAGGCAGCUCACUGGAGCGCAACUGACGCUGAAGCUCGAAAGUGCGGGUAUCGAACAGGAGUAGAAACCCAUGUAGUCCGGCUGACUCU
rnacentral:rRNA from 1 species